rnacentral:rRNA from 1 species
GUGCCAGCGCCGCGGUAACACCGGCAGCCCAAGUGAUGGCCGAUAUUAUUGGGCCUAAAGCGUCCGUAGCUGGCCGCACAAGUCCGUCGGGAAAUCCACUCGCUUAACGAGUGGGCGUCCGGCGGAAACUGUGCGGCUUGGGACCGGAAGAUCCAAGGGGUACGUCCGGGGUAGGAGUGAAAUCCCGUAAUCCUGGACGGACCACCGGUGGCGAAAGCGCCUCGGGAGGACGGACCCGACGGUGAGGGACGAAAGCCAGGGUCUCGAACCGGAUUAGAUACCCUAGUAGUCC